rnacentral:rRNA from 1 species
UACGUAGGGUGCGAGCGUUGUCCGGAAUUAUUGGGCGUAAAGAGCUUGUAGGCGGUUUGUCGCGUCUGCUGUGAAAACUCGGGGCUUAACUCCGAGCCUGCAGUGGGUACGGGCAGACUAGAGUAUGGUAGGGGAGACUGGAAUUCCUGGUGUAGCGGUGGAAUGCGCAGAUAUCAGGAGGAACACCGAUGGCGAAGGCAGGUCUCUGGGCCAUAACUGACGCUGAGAAGCGAAAGCAUGGGUAGCGAACAGG